rnacentral:rRNA from 1 species
GAUGAACGCUAGCUACAGGCUUAACACAUGCAAGUCGAGGGGUCUCGCGGGAGCUUGCCUCCAAGAGACGACCGGCGCACGGGUGAGUGACGCGUAUCCAACCUGCCCUUCAUAUUGGGAUAGCCUUCCGAAAGGAAGAUUAAUACCGAAUAACAUGAGAAAGUUGCCUGAUUCUCUCGUGAAAGCUCCGGCGAUGAAGGAUGGGGAUGCGUUCCAUUAGGUAGUAGGCGGGGUAACGGCCCACCUAGCCUACGAUGGAUAGGGGUUCUGAGAGGAAGGUCCCCCACACUGGAACUGAGACACGGUCCAGACUCCUACGGGAGGCAGCAGUGAGGAAUAUUGGUCAAUGGGCGCAAGCCUGAACCAGCCAAGUAGCGUGAAGGAUGACUGCCCUAUGGGUUGUAAACUUCUUUUAUACGGGAACAAACCUUGGUACGCGUACCAAAUUGCGUGUACCGUAUGAAUAAGCAUCGGCUAACUCCGUGCCAGCCGCCGCAGUAACAC